UACGUAGGCACCAAGCGUUGUCCGGAUUUAUUGGGCGUAAAGAGCUCGUAGGCGGUUCGGUAAGUCGGGUGCGAAAACUCUGGGCUCAACCCAGAGAGGCCACCCGAUACUGCCGUGACUGGAGUGCGGUAGGGGAGUGGGGAAUUCCUGGUGUAGCGGUGAAAUGCGCAGAUAUCAGGAGGAACACCAGUGGCGAAGGCGCCACUCUGGGCCGUAACUGACGCUGAGGAGCGAAAGCGUGGGUAGCAAACAGG
rnacentral:rRNA from 1 species